AUCAAAUUAGCAAAAAUUUAAUGCAAUUGACUUAGGAUCAAUGGAUAUAGGUGAAAUUCCUUUAUUUGAUA
rnacentral:tRNA from 1 species